rnacentral:rRNA from 1 species
UACGGAGGGUGCGAGCGUUGUCCGGAAUCAUUGGGCGUAAAGAGCUCGUAGGCGGCCACUCAAGUCGAAUGUGAAACCUCGAGGCUUAACCUCGAGCCUGCAUUCGAUACUGGGCGGCUAGAGUCUGGUAGGGGGAUCUGGAAUUCCUGGUGUAGCGGUGGAAUGCGCAGAUAUCAGGAGGAACACCGGUGGCGAAGGCGGGAUCCUGGGCCAGUACUGACGCUGAGGAGCGAAAGCGU